rnacentral:rRNA from 1 species
AGAUUGAACGCUGGCGGCGGGCCUAACACAUGCAAGUCGAGCGGUAGAGAGGUGCUUGCAUCUCUUGAGAGCGGCGGACGGGUGAGUAAUGCCUAGGAAUCUGCCUAGUGGUGGGGGAUAACGCUCGGAAACGGACGCUAAUACCGCAUACGUCCUACGGGAGAAAGCGGGGGGACCUUCGGGCCUCGCGCCAUUAGAUGAGCCUAGGUCGGAUUAGGCUAGUUGGUGAGGUAAUGGCUCACCAAGGCGACGAUCCGUAACUGGUCUGAGAGGAUGAUCGAGUCACACUGGAACUGGAGACGACGGUCCAGACCUCCGUACGGGAGCAGCAGGUGGGGAAUAGUUGGACUAAGUGGGGACGAAAGUCCUAGACGUACCGAG